GGUKRAUUCGGCCCACCACCUGRGACUGAGACMCSGCCCCARACUCCUACCGGGARGGCARCAGWARGGGAAUCUUCCGCAAAUGGACGAAAGUCUGACGGAGCAAMCGCCGCGUGAGUGAUGAAAGGUUUUYGGAUCGUAAAGCUCUGUUGUUAGGGAAGAACAAAGUGCGAGAGUAACUGCUCGCACCUUGACGGUACCUAACCAGAAAGCCACGGCUAAUACGUGCCAGCAGCCGCGGUAAUACGUAGGUGGCAAGCGUUGUCCGGAAUUAUUGGGCGUAAAGGGCUCGCAGGCGGUUUCUUAAGUCUGAUGUGAAAGCCCCCGGCUCAACCGGGGAGGGUCAUUGGAAACUGGGAAACUUGAGUGCAGAAGAGGAGAGUGGAAUUCCACGUGUAGCGGUGAAAUGCGUAGAGAUGUGGAGGAACACCAGUGGCGAAGGCGACUCUCUGGUCUGUAACUGACGCUGAGGAGCGAAAGCGUGGGGAGCGAACAGGAUUAGAUACCCUGGUAGUCCACGCCGUAAACGAUGAGUGCUAAGUGUUAGGGGGUUUCCGCCCCUUAGUGCUGCAGCUAACGCAUUAAGCACUCCGCCUGGGGAGUACGGUCGCAAGACUGAAACUCAAAGGAAUUGACGGGGGCCCGCACAAGCGGUGGAGCAUGUGGUUUAAUUCGAAGCAACGCGAAGAACCUUACCAGGUCUUGACAUCCUCUGACAACCCUAGAGAUAGGGCUUUCCCUUCGGGGACAGAGUGACAGGUGGUGCAUGGUUGUCGUCAGCUCGUGUCGUGAGAUGUUGGGUUAAGUCCCGCAACGAGCGCAACCCUUGAUCUUAGUUGCCAGCAUUCAGUUGGGCACUCUAAGGUGACUGCCGGUGACAAACCGGAGGAAGGUGGGGAUGACGUCAAAUCAUCAUGCCCCUUAUGACCUGGGCUACACACGUGCUACAAUGGACAGAACAAAGGGYUGCARGACCGCAAGGUUUAGCCAAUCCCAUAAAUCUGUUYUCUGUUCGGAUCGCAGUCUGCAACUCGACUGCGUGAAGCUGGAAUCGCUAGUAAUC
rnacentral:rRNA from 1 species